UUCAAUCACCUAAAGACGAGAAAAAAAAUGAGAGAAAGAGGAGAGUGGGGGGAGAUAGUGCGUGGGAGCAGGGAAAGAUUCCGUGGUAGAAAUAUUCAAAGCCUCUGCUGGUUUUUCUUUCUCUUCUCCUCCCCAUUAACCUGCAUUCAAUUUGUCUGUUAUAUUUUGAUUUUGAAAACCCUAGAUCUCCCGAUCCUCUCACUCUUUUCAAUCGCUCUUCCUUCUCUUACCUGAAUCUUCAAAGGAAUAUAGGUUUCCAUCUCUCACUUGUUUCUCUAGGCAGCCCAUCUGCUUCUGUUCUCUUUUGAUUUCACCGUUAAAUCGUUGCUGGCUCUGGUUGCGAUGAAGUGAAUUUCUUGGACAUUUUAGAUGGCUUCGUCUUUGGUGUAUUAUUUCCCCAUUUAAUCUAUGGUUCUACUCACCUUUUCUGGUUUCAGGUUUUAUUCAUGCAUCCUUGCGUUGGGAACAAUCUUUGUUUAGGUCGUAAGAUUGUUGGGGUUCAUUUGGAGAGAUCUCUCUUGACAAAUGAAGAGGUCGGAGCGGCUAUGAAUGAACGGAGAUGAAGAGAGCAGAUGGAAGAAAAAGAGAAUAGCUUAGGGUUUCAACCUUAGCCACUGGAUUUUUUUUCCGCCAUGUGUUCCAAGAUGGUUUUGAUCCCUUUUCAAAACCAAUGGGUAAUCGACAAACUUGUUUGAUGUCAUGUUUCAGUUAGUAAGACACGUUAUCUCUGGUAGAAGUCAUAAAACUCUUCCUCCACGUUAUGUCUCUGAUUUUUUUUUUCUUGUCAAGAUAGAGCCGAGAUAACGUAGAACUCUCCACUAUAGUCUUUUGAAAUCUCUUUUUCCUCUGUUGGCUUGACAGAGAUAGGUUGCUGGUGUUCUGUCCUAAACUAUUUUUCCCGAAAUAUCCUCUGUUAGCUUGACAGAGAGUAGUCUGUAUUGAAAUAUCAACUCAACUAAGCCUUAUCCCGACAGAAGAGGUGGACUAAAUGCAUCUAGUAUACCUUUUUUUCCUGUUGCAAAAAUAUUAAAUUUCUCUCAUCUAUGCUCCAUAUUUCACUUCUUAUUGGCACUCUAAUGCCUUUGUUGUAUAUGCAUUAAAAUAUUGGAUUACAAUGCUGUCAUUGAAUUCAUUAUGCUUUUGUUUGCACUCAAUAUGUUAAAAUGUGUUCAACUUGAUCAUAAUUGAACUUAGAGACAUCCCUUCAUCAGUAGCUGCUGCCAUUGCUGAAGGUUGCAUAGAUCCAAUUACCAUGGAAGCCUUUGAUAACUCAAAGAAACCGAAAAGUUGUCUGGACCCAAAUGUAACUUGAGUUUCUGAUCAAAUCCUAAAAGCGGAGGCCCAUGUCGUGAUAUCUGCGCAAGAGAGGUGCUUAUCCAUAUUUUCUUCUUGUGAAACAAUAGAUAAAAAGAAUACAGGCAAGCUUACUUUUAAACACGCAACUUCAUCGUUUAUAGAGAAGCUUUUCCACUGUGUUGUGUGUGUUGUCUACUUCUUAUUGUUUAUUUGGUAAUAUAUUAGUCAUAAUGGGACCUCAAUUAUGUGAAGAUUGCUUGGCAUGACAAAUGCCACUCUAAUCUUGUUCUAUCUUGUCUGUGUGCAUGUUGUGCAUAUUUUGUGGUAAGCUCUAUUUUUACAAACUUUUAGUCCUUCUGUCAUGAACAGAUACAGAGCAGAAGGUGAUUGGAUAAGAGGAGAUAUUUGAAGGAAGCUGCUACCCUUGAAAAACUAAUAGCCCCUUGAGAAUUCCACCAGAAAGUUGAUGAAAUUGUAGAAAAAAGAGAAUUUCCAGACAACAACCCCUUCAAGAAAAGAAAAGCUGUUGAUUUUUUGGAACAAAUUGCAAACCACCACUGAACAAGCUUCAAAGGUGAUAGGUGCUGAAGAAUCAGAUAAGGUUAUAUAGAAAGGAGAGUUUCUCAAAAACCCAUUCAAGAAAGAACUUGAUUCGCAGUUGGAGCAGAGGCAGACAACCAAAGUUUCUCAAAAACUCAUUCAAGAAAGUAAGAGUUUCUCAAAAACCCAUUCAAGAAAGUAAGAGUUUCUCAAAAACCCAUUCAAUAAGGUAAAACUUGAUUCUCAGUUGGAACAGAGACAGACAACCACUGAACAAGUUUCAGAGGUAAUAGAUGUAGAUGACUUGGAUGAGACGAGUGCUACCCCAGAAUCCCAAUAGACCGUAAAGGCUAAGCCAAUGACUGGUCAUCCCUAAUAAGACAAAAGAGGGACAUAAGAAGAGAUUAAAUAGUAAGAUGAGUUGCAAGAGUUCUGAGUGUAAGAAUAAUAGUACUCUUAAUUUCUUUACAUGAUUGUAGUAAUUAUUCCCCAAUUUUUAUGGGUAUUUUACAUCAGUUUUGACAUUGAUCUUAUGUAUAGCUUCACUAAAGCUUCACCACUUUUUGCUACCAUGAGUGACAGCCAUGUCAAUCCAUUAAAUGGUGUUUAGUCUGUUGACAUAGUGAAAGGAAUUAUAAAGUUGCUUUUUUAAAA